UACGGAGGGUGCAAGCGUUAUCCGGAUUUACUGGGUUUAAAGGGUGCGUAGGUGGGUUGGGAAGUCAGUGGUGAAAUACUUUCGCUUAACGAAGGAACUGCCAUUGAUACUAUCAAUCUUGAAUGUAGUGGAGGUAGGCGGAAUGCGUCAUGUAGCGGUGAAAUGCUUAGAUAUGGAACGCAGAACACCAAUUGCGAAGCAGCUUGCUACACUACGUAUUGACACUGAGGCACUGAAAGCGUGG
rnacentral:rRNA from 1 species